UACGUAGGGUGCGAGCGUUGUCCGGAAUUAUUGGGCGUAAAGAGCUCGUAGGCGGUUUGUCGCGUCGGCCGUGAAAACUUGGGGCUUAACCCCAAGCCUGCGGUCGAUACGGGCAGACUUGAGUUCGGCAGGGGAGACUGGAAUUCCUGGUGUAGCGGUGAAAUGCGCAGAUAUCGGGAGGAACACCCGUAGCGAAGGCGGCACUCUGGGCCGGUACUGACGCUGAGGAGCGAAAGCGUGGGGAGCAAACAGG
rnacentral:rRNA from 1 species